UCCGGCUUAUCACCGGCGGUUUCCUUAGAGUGCCCAACUAAAUGGUAGCAACUAAGGACGAGGGUUGCGCUCGUUGCGCGACUUAACCCAACAUCUCACGACACGAGCUGACGACAGCCAUGCAGCACCUCCGCAGCGGCCCUUGCGGGCGCCGAUGUUUCCACCGGAUUCCACUGCGCUUCGAGCCCAGGUAAGGUUCUUCGCGUUGCGUCGAAUUGAACCACAUGCUCCACCGCUUGUGCGGGCCCCCGUCAAUUCCUUUGAGUUUCAGUCUUGCGACCGUACUCCCCAGGCGGGAUGCUUAACGCGUUAGCUACGGCACGUCGGGAUUGGGUACCCGACACACCAAGCAUCCAUCGUUUAGGGCUAGGACUAC
rnacentral:misc_RNA from 1 species